ACUAAAAUGGCAGAAAAUUGAUGCAAUAGUUUUAAGAAUUAUACAUGAGGUCUAACCUCUUUUAGUA
rnacentral:tRNA from 1 species